CCACGUUGGAUAUAAAGAUUACUUCAAAUAAAUUAAAACUUUAAAAAUUUCUUAAUAAAAAAGAAAUUUAAAAAGAAAUAAUCUCACAGAGAUAGAGAUGUAUUUCUUAAUUCUUUAUUUGAAUUGGGAUGCAAGUUUUUCCGCUGAAAGAAAGGGAACAGCUUGGAGGAGAGGGCGCACCUAUUCAAAGGUGAGUUUCAUAAGAGCUGGGGAGAUAGGGUCAACUUCAUCUUUAUAUCCUUCAUAACACCAAUCAAAGUGCCUUGAACAGAGUUGAGAAAAACAUUUAAGACUGGAGCUGUUACUGUAAAAUAGGACUGCGCAUAUCCUAGAUUUUAACAAUAUAAUGUAUAUUACAAAAAUUUCUAUUUUAAAAAUAAUAUUUAAGUAGCUUGAAUUUCUUUAUAUCAUUAUAUUGUUUUAGGGAGAGAGAAUCUCAAGCAGGCUGCAUACCCAGUGCAGAGCCUGAUGUGGGGCUUGAUCCCACGAUUCUGGGAUCAUGACCUGAGCCGAACUCAAGAGUGGGACCUUCAACUGACUGAGCUACCCAAGACACCCCUUUAUAUUGUUUUAAUCACCAGGAAAUCGGGUCCUUUUUUCCAUGCUGGCUGUCUACCAGCUGUGUUUGUGAAUGUUCAAGAGAAGAUAAAGGAUGGAGAGCUGGAAUCAGUCAACCGAAUUGCUUGUCAGGAGACUCAGAAGAUUUGGAGAAAGAUGAUAAAAUGCAUAUGGGAUGAAAUGAAGUGAGAUGAAUAACGCAGGCAUUGUGACAUUGCAUUAAGCUACUAUUGACCCCCUGACAAUUCGUCAGAAGGAGGAUCAUCUGCUUCCAGCCCACAGUUAACCACAGGAACGGCAGAGAACUACAAUCUAAGACAAGCAAGCUAGAAAACCACAGGCAAAUCUGGAGAACAAAGGAAAGGUUUUUCCACCUUGGCACUGGUUCCUGCAGCAGUUUCAGCCGCUGGGUGUCUGCUCAG